rnacentral:rRNA from 1 species
AACGCGAAGAACCUUACCUGGGCUCGAAAUGCUACGGACCAGCUUAUGAAAGUAGGCCUUCCCGCAAGGGACCGUAGUAUAGGUGCUGCAUGGCUGUCGUCAGCUCGUGUCGUGAGAUGUUGGGUUAAGUCCCGCAACGAGCGCAACCCUUGUCCUGUGUUGCCAUACCGAAAGGUGGAACUCGCAGGAGACCGCCAGGGAUAACCUGGAGGAAGGUGGGGAUGACGUCAAGUCCUCAUGGCCUUUAUGUCCAGGGCUACACACGUGCUACAAUGGACGGUACAAAGGGUCGCCAACCCGCGAGGGGGAGCCAAUCCCAAAAAACCGUUCUCAGUUCGGAUUGCAGGCUGCAACUCGCCUGCAUGAAGCUGGAAUCGCUAGUAAUGGCGGAUCAGAACGCCGCCGUGAAUACGUUCCCGGGCCUUGUA